GAGAACGCUGGCGGCGUGGAUUAGGCAUGCAAGUCGAACGGUAUCAUCCUUCGGGGGUGAGAGAGUGGCGAACUGGUGAGUAACACGUAGGUUAUCUACCCUCAAGACGGGGACAACCCAGGGAAACUUGGGCUAAUACCGGAUGUGAGCAACUUUUAGUUGUUUGAAAGGUGGCGUAAGCUGUCGCUUGGGGAUGAGCCUGCGUCCUAUUAGUUAGUUGGUGAGGUAACGGCUCACCUAGGCAAUGAUAGGUAGGCGGCCUUAACGGGUGGUCGCCCACACUGGGAUUGAGAUACGGCCCAGACUCCUACGGGAGGCAGCAGUCGAGAAUAGUCUACAAUGGUCGGAAGACUGAUAGUGCGACGCCGCGUGAACGAUGAAUCCCUUCGGGGUGUAAAGUUCUUUUAUAUGUGAGCAGUGCUUCUUAUAUUAACAGUAUGGGGAGAGAGAUAUUAGCAUAUGAAUAAGCAACGGCUAACUCCGUG
rnacentral:rRNA from 1 species